AUACUUACCUGGUAGGGGAGACAUCAUGAUGAGGCAGGUGGUUUUCCCAGGGCAAGGCUCAUCCCCUGCACUAUUUUUUUUUUUAAGGUGAUGGAGCAGCUCCUCC
rnacentral:snRNA from 8 species